rnacentral:rRNA from 1 species
UACGGGGGGGGCAAGCGUUGUUCGGAAUUACUGGGCGUAAAGGGCUCGUAGGUGGCAAACUAAGUCAGACGUGAAAUCCCCAGGCUUAACCUGGGAACUGCGUCUGAUACUGGAUGGCUUGAAUUCGGGAGAGGGAUGCAGAGUUCCAGGUGUAGCGGUGAAAUGCGUAGAUAUCUGGAGGAAUACCGGUGGCGAAGGCGGCAUCCUGGACCGGCAUUGACGCUGAGGAGCGAAAGCUAGGGGAGCAAACGGG